rnacentral:rRNA from 1 species
GACGAACGCUGGCGGCGCGCUUAACACAUGCAAGUCGAACGGAAAGGCCCUGCUUUUGUGGGGUGCUCGAGUGGCGAACGGGUGAGUAACACGUGAGUAACCUGCCCUUGACUUUGGGAUAACUUCAGGAAACUGGGGCUAAUACCGGAUAGGAGCUCCUGCUGCAUGGUGGGGGUUGGAAAGUUUCGGCGGUUGGGGAUGGACUCGCGGCUUAUCAGCUUGUUGGUGGGGUAGUGGCUUACCAAGGCUUUGACGGGUAGCCGGCCUGAGAGGGUGACCGGCCACAUUGGGACUGAGAUACGGCCCAGACUCCUACGGGAGGCAGCAGUGGGGAAUAUUGCACAAUGGGCGGAAGCCUGAUGCAGCAACGCCGCGUGCGGGAUGACGGCCUUCGGGUUGUAAACCGCUUCCGCCUGUGACGAAGCGUGAGUGACGGUAAUGGGUAAAGAAGCACCGGCUAACUACGUG